ensembl:snoRNA
CAGUGUGGUAGUUUUCUUUCUGGCCAGUUUGUUAAGUGUCAAAUAGGCCUGACUCUGCCACAUAGAUAACACAGGAGCGAGCAGUCUUGGGCAUGGGCAGGCCAUGUCUGAGCCUCUCCCCACUUCAGAGAUUACUGUAGCUCCCACAUGC